rnacentral:rRNA from 1 species
UGGGGAAUAUUGGACAAUGGGGGCAACCCUGAUCCAGCAAUGCCGCGUGUGUGAAGAAGGUUUUCGGAUUGUAAAGCACUUUCGGCGGGGACGAUGAUGACGGUACCCGCAGAAGAAGCCCCGGCUAACUUCGUGCCAGCAGCCGCGGUAAUACGAAGGGGGCUAGCGUUGCUCGGAAUGACUGGGCGUAAAGGGCGUGUAGGCGGUUUGUACAGUCAGAUGUGAAAUCCCCGGGCUUAACCUGGGAGCUGCAUUUGAUACGUGCAGACUAGAGUGUGAGAGAGGGUUGUGGAAUUCCCAGUGUAGAGGUGAAAUUCGUAGAUAUUGGGAAGAACACCGGUGGCGAAGGCGGCAACCUGGCUCAUGACUGACGCUGAGGCGCGAAAGCGUGGGGGAGCAAACAGGAUUAGAUACCCUGGUAGUCCACGCUGUAAACGAUGUGUGCUGGAUGUUGGGCCAACUUAGUUGUUCAGUGUCGUAGCUAACGCGAUAAGCACACCGCCUGGGGAGUAC